UGAGCUACAGGCCCCACCCCGUCUCCACUGGAUCUCCGAGAUCCUUUCGAUGACCCAUUUCCAGUGGUGGACGGGUGAGCAACGUGUAAGAACCUGCCUUUGGGAGGGGAACAACAGCUGGAAACAGCUGCGAAUACCCCGUAGGCUGAGGAGCAAAAGGAAGAAUCCACCCGAGGAGGGGAUCGCGUCUGAUUAGCUAGUUGGUGAGGCAAUAGCUUACCAAGGCAAUGAUCAGUAGCUGGUCCGAGAGGAUGAUCAACCACACUGGGACUGAGACACAACCCAGACUCCUACGGGAGGCAGCAGUGGGGAAUUUUCAGCAAUGGGCGAAAGCCUGACGGAGCAAUGCUGUGUGGAGGUAGAAGGCCCACGGGUCGUGAGCUUCCUUUUUCGGAGAAGAAGUAAUGACGGUAUCUGGGGAAUAAGCAUCAACUAACUCUGUGCCAGCAGCCGCGGUAAUACAGAGGAUGCAAGUGUUAUUCGGAAUGAUUGGGCGUAAAGCGUCUGUAUGUGGCUUUUUAAGUCCGCCAUCAAAUCCCAGGGAUCAACACUAGACAGGCGGUGGAAACUACCAAGCUGGAGUAUGGUAGGGGCAGAGGGAAUUUUCGGUGGAGCGGUGAAAUGCGUAGAGAUCGGAAAGAACACCAACGGCGAAAGCACUCUGCUGGGCCGACACUGACACUGAGAGACGAAAGCUAGGGGAGCGAAUGGGAUUAGAUACCCCAGUAGUCCUAGCCGUAAACGAUGGAUACUAGGCGCUGUGCGUAUUGACCCGUGCAGUGCUGUAGCUAAUGCGUUAAGUAUCCUGCCUGGGGAGUACACUCGUAAGAAUGAAACUCAAAGGAAUUGACGGGAGCCCGCACAAGCGUUGGAGCAUGUGGUUUAAUUCGAUGCAACUCCAGUUUUAUAUAUAAUAUUGAUUGAUUGAUUGUAAGUCCUAACACUUAAAACCUUGAAAUUAAUAUUUUUAUCUUACAUAAAUCUUAUUUAAAUUAUAAAAAAUAAAAUAAAUUAAUUAUUCAAUGAAAAACAUGAGAGAAAAAGAUUCACAUUUUAAAAACAAAUUUUUAAUAUGGAAUUCCUAUCAUAUUGGAUAUAUAUAACAUUUAUUUUUUUUCACAUCAAUUACCAUUUUUAAUUAUUUUAUUUUAUUGACUAUACUUUUAUUAAUUAGCGGAAAAUACAUGUGCAAAGCAUGUACACUAAAUUAGUAUAUUAAGAAACACAAAUUCCCUUAAUGAAAUAUCGAUGUAAGAACUUUAAUUUAAAAUCCUUAACUCAAUCACCCUUCGCAUAAAAGAAUGAAAACAUUUUUAAUGAUGGAAAUAUAUUCAUGUAAUAUCCUUUGCCAUAUCGUGUAUUAAAGUAUUAAAAUUGUUAGCUAAAAUCUCUAGACCUAUUAUUAUUUAUUAGUGAUCUUAGAUAUUUUAUUUCUAUAUAUAAAUAAAAUUAAUUGUUAUAU
rnacentral:rRNA from 1 species